UGAGUCGGCCAGGUGGUCGCGGCACGGACGUGCAAACGGACCGUGUCGAGGAAAGUCGGGACUCCACAGGGCAGGGUGCUGGCGAGAGCCAGGUCGGGGCGACCUGACGGACAAGUGCAACAGAAAGCACACCGCCGAUGGGCCGGGAGACCGGUCACAGGUAAGGGUGAAACGGUGCGGUAAGAGCGCACCAGCACCAGGGGCGACCCUGGUGGCUCGGUAAACCCCACCCGGAGCAAGGUCGAGCAGAGGGGACGGACGGCCCGUCCAUCGCACCGGUGCAUGCCGGAGCGAACCCCUCGGGUGGACCGCACAGAUGGAUGAUCACCGGCGCCGCUCCCCCGGGAGCAGCGUCACAGAAUCCCGCUUAUCGGCCGACUCACCAU
rnacentral:RNase_P_RNA from 1 species